CCAAACAUAAAGCCAUUGAUUCACACGUUGAUUCUAAACCAAACGAUCGAACAUAUAUAUCAACGUUGAUUCACACGUCGGCCAUCUGCAAAUAAGGUGGACACGCAUGUUUUUAUGGCUCAAAACCAUUCCAUAGUUUUUUGUUAUAUAAAAGAAAAUCUAAUUAUGAACCUUAGGCUAUAAAUGAGCAACUUCCAUAUAUGACAUGUUAAAACAUUUUGAUCCUUCAAAACUCUUUUCUUCAGCCACCAACUUAUAUAAGCUUAUACAUCUCAUCCCCUAUAUUCUAGGCAGCAAAGUCUCUUCCCCUCCUCAACCCCCACCCCUAACCUCUUUUCUCUCAAAAUAAUGGAAAAUAUAACUAGAACUUCAGAUAUUUUCGACAUGGAUGCUCUUAUGAUGAAUCUUCCACGAAAAAGAGGAUUAUCUCGAUACUACUCGGAAAAAUCAAGAUCAUUUGCAUGUUUGGCGGAUGUUCAUACGUUAGACGAUUUAAAGAAACAAGAUCAUAGGAAGCCAAAGAAGAGGAAGAACUACAUAAAUGAAGAAAACAUGCAGGCUCCUCCUUCACCAUGUAGGCAUAUAUCCGGCAACAACCGAGCUCCUAUGCCAUGCAUAGGUGUUUAAAUGCCCUUACGGAAACAUCGGAAAAGAUAUGGCCCUUUUCCUACUUUUUUCGUAAACUAAAUCAUAUUGUAAAUACUAAUAUAGGGAUUAGGAUUUUAUAAGAACAGGCAGAUUUUCCAUACUGUAAAAACAUUCAUGAGAUAAACUAAGCAUUGAAUUUUGAAACACCCUAUACCCUCCUACAUUUGAACCUUAUGAGUUUGUGCGAAAUUUUCAAACAGCCUGCGUUUCGAUAGUCACAUAUAUCGAGGCAGUUGCGUCCACCACAAUGGCACUAUGUACAACCGUGGGCUAGAGAGGAAGGUAUAGAAGUAAAACCAAGCAUUAACACAAGAAGUAACCUGAUUCCAUGGACAGGUUUGACCUUGGAAGUGAAGAAACCUGAUGUCUUGGACAAAAGAUUGAUGUAGCAACCAGUACCUGAAUUCCUACAAAUGCAAGAAAUCUAAGUUCCAGAAGAAACUCAAAUCAUAAAAUCAGAAGACCGUAGUUUACAUGGUACUAAUUAUUUUUAAUACGCAAAUAGUCAGUGGCAGAAACAGGGGCAAUUCUGGAAUAGGUCCUUAUAAUUUAGGAUGCUUGAGUGUGAAAUUAUAGUAUACCUACAUAACUACUAUAAAAAUUUUGUUUAUAAACUGGUACUUGUUUGUAAUA